rnacentral:rRNA from 1 species
ACACGACUACAUUAGAUACCCGUGUAGUCCUGGCCGUAAACGAUGUGGACUUGGUGUUGGAAUGGCUCCGAGCUGCUCCAGUGCCGAAGGGAAGCUGUUAAGUCCACCGCCUGGGAAGUACAGUCGCAAGACUGAAACUUAAAGGAAUUGGCGGGGAGCACCACAACGCGUGGAGCCUGCGGUUUAAUUGGAUUCAACGCCGGACAUCUCACCAGGGCGACAGCAGAAUGAUGGCCAGGUUGAUGACCUUGCUUGACAAGCUG